UGAACAAGACACGGUCCAUGCUUCACAGA
rnacentral:piRNA from 1 species